rnacentral:misc_RNA from 1 species
AAGUCGUAACAAGGUCUCCGUUGGUGAACCAGCGGAGGGAUCAUUACCGAGUACUAUAACUCAUAACCCUUUGUGAACCUUUAUACCUGUUGCUUCGGCGGCGCGCCCCCCGGGGCGUGCCCGCCGGUAUCAUCAGAAUCUCUGUUUGAACCCGACGAUACAUCUGAGUGUUCUAAGCGAACUGUUAAAACUUUCAACAACGGAUCUCUUGGCUCCA